rnacentral:rRNA from 1 species
AACGAACGCUGGCGGCAUGCCUAACACAUGCAAGUCGAACGAGACCUUCGGGUCUAGUGGCGCACGGGUGCGUAACGCGUGGGAAUCUGCCCUUGGGUUCGGGAUAACAGUUGGAAACGACUGCUAAUACCGGAUGAUGACUUCGGUCCAAAGAUUUAUCGCCCAGGAAUGAGCCCGCGUCGGAUUAGCUAGUUGGUGAGGUAAGAGCUCACCAAGGCGACGAUCCGUAGCUGGUCUGAGAGGAUGAUCAGCCACACUGGGACUGAGACACGGCCCAGACUCCUACGGGAGGCAGCAGUGGGGAAUAUUGGACAAUGGGCGAAAGCCUGAUCCAGCAAUGCCGCGUGAGUGAUGAAGGCCUUAGGGUUGUAAAGCUCUUUUACCCGGGAUGAUAAUGACAGUACCGGGAGAAUAAGCCCCGGCUAACUCCGUG